GCUGUAUGUAGCCCAGUUGGUAGAGGCAUCGCCAGUUCAGAUAGCGAAGGUCGCUGGUUCAAAUCCAGGCUGCGGUG